CAGAGGACGAAGCCCACACUGCGUAAAAAAAAUCUCGAUCCCCUCCUCUCUCUCCGAUGCAUCCAGUCGGUAGCACCCGGCGGCUGCCAGAUCCGUCCUCCCUUCGGAUCCACCAGCUCGACACUCUCCGCCACCGCCUUGCCCACCAUGGCGGCCAGCAAGGCGUCCCUUGGCGUUCGGCCAUCCCUGUACGGCGGCAUCAUGUCAGCGGCUGCAUCCAACUCUACUAUCGCCCGUCGGCCGCGUACAGGUCUUUGCUCUCUGCCAUCGGCCGCCUCCACCAUGUCUCCAGCUCCAUGCUGCCCGACUUGACAUCCUCUGCAUCAUAGUCAUCUUGGUUGCCGACGAAAGCUAGCUCUUCCUCCUCUGGGAUCGAUUUCACCUUCAUCUUGCUCUGCCACGGGUGGAUCUUCAGCCCCCUCGCAUAUGUGUUAUCCGUACUAUACUCCAGCCGGCUGGACGUGCAUGUGACGUGGGUGGCUUGACGUGCGCGUUCUAUUGGCAUAGGAAGCGGGCGGUUGUAGGCAGAGAAAGUUGCUGCCUACUUGCAGAGGGGAUUAGGAUUGUGUAUCAUAAUUAGGCGAGCUCAUUUGAUCUGUUUUGGUCUGGAUUAGUUAAAUCGUGAAUUGAUAAUUGUUUCUUGGUGCAGGAACUUUAAGUCAACCGGCUUGACGGCAACACGUACUAUGAGUUUCUUCCUAAAUCUGAAACUAUUUGGCCCAUAAAUUGUAAUCCCCUUGAGAAAGUUAGAGUCUUUAUGGAUCGGACUGGGUAAUGGAUGUUGACAAAUUUGAUUGCAGCAGGACCGGCAAACAAAGUGCAGUGCUCACCGUUGUAGAUAUAUUCAGGGUAGCAUCAAACUUCAGUGAAAAUGAGCAUUACUAGGCAGCGAGCUUCAUGCAUCAUUGGAUUUGAGAAUUCUGUACUAUGGUGAAUUAUUUUUGUUUCUUGGAGACACUAACAAUAGCUUCUUAUUAGUGCCCAUGGUGAAAGAGCUA
rnacentral:rRNA from 1 species